GACGAACGCUGGCGGCGUGCUUAACACAUGCAAGUGGAGCGACGAACCCGAGCUUGCUCGGGGGCAAAGCCGCGAACGGGUGAGUAACACGUGGGUAACCUGCCCUGUUGAUUGGGACAACCCCGGGAAACCGGGGCUAAUACCAAAUGUGCUGCAUCCUCAUCAGUGGAUGUAGGAAAGGAGGCUUCGGCUUCCGCAACGGGAUGGGCCCGCGGCCCAUUAGCUUGUUGGUGGGGUAACGGCCUACCAAGGCUUCGAUGGGUAGCUGGUCUGAGAGGACGAUCAGCCACACUGGGACUGAGACACGGCCCAGACUCCUACGGGAGGCAGCAGUGGGGAAUCUUGCGCAAUGCGCGAAAGCGUGACGCAGCAACGCCGCGUGAGGGAAGACGGCCUUCGGGUUGUAAACCUCUUUCAGUUGGGACGAAGCCACGGCGGUUAAUACCCGUCUGUGGUGACGGUACCUUCAGAAGAAGCCCCGGCUAACUACGUGCCAGCCGCCGCCGUAAAAC
rnacentral:rRNA from 1 species